rnacentral:rRNA from 1 species
UACGAAGGGUGCAAGCGUUACUCGGAAUUACUGGGCGUAAAGCGUGCGUAGGUGGUUCGUUAAGUCUGAUGUGAAAGCCCUGGGCUCAACCUGGGAAUGGCAUUGGAAACUGGCGACCUAGAGUGCGGUAGAGGGUAGUGGAAUUCCCGGUGUAGCAGUGAAAUGCGUAGAGAUCGGGAGGAACAUCUGUGGCGAAGGCGACUGCCUGGACCAGCACUGACACUGAGGCACGAAAGCGAUGGGAGCAAACAGGG